AACGAACGCUGGCGGCAUGCCUAACACAUGCAAGUCGAACGAUUGCCUUCGGGUGAUAGUGGCGCACGGGUGCGUAACGCGUGGGAAUCUGCCCUUAGGUUCGGAAUAACAGCUGGAAACGGCUGCUAAUACCGGAUGAUAUCGCGAGAUCAAAGAUUUAUCGCCUGAGGAUGAGCCCGCGUUGGAUUAGGUAGUUGGUGGGGUAAAGGCCUACCAAGCCGACGAUCCAUAGCUGGUCUGAGAGGAUGAUCAGCCACACUGGGACUGAGACACGGCCCAGACUCCUACGGGAGGCAGCAGUGGGGAAUAUUGGACAAUGGGCGCAAGCCUGAUCCAGCAAUGCCGCGUGAGUGAUGAAGGCCCUAGGGUUGUAAAGCUCUUUUAACCGGGAAGAUAAUGACUGUACCGGGAGAAUAAGCCCCGGCUAACUCCGUG
rnacentral:rRNA from 1 species